GAUGAAGAACGCAGCGAAAUGCGAUAAGUAAUGUGAAUUGCAGAAUUCAGUGAAUCAUCGAAUCUUUGAACGCACAUUGCGCCCGCCAGUAUUCUGGCGGGCAUGCCUGUUCGAGCGUCAUUUCAACCCUCAGGGCCCUUUUGGACCUGGCGUUGGGGCUCGGCCGCUACCCUGCGGCCGUCCCCGAAAGAUAGUGGCGGUCUCGCUGUAGCCUCCUCUGCGUAGUAGUUACAUCUCGCACUGGAACGCGGCGCGGCCAUGCCGUUAAACACCCCACUUCUCAAGGUUGACCUCGGAUCAGGUAGGAAUACCCGCUGAACUUAAGAAUAUCAAUAAGCGGAGGA
rnacentral:misc_RNA from 1 species